AACGAGGCCGACCUGCGGCUGAGUUACCUGCGGAAGGAUCAUUACCGAGUGAGGGCCCUCCGGGUCCAACCUCCCACCCGUGUUUAACGAACCUUGUUGCUUCGGCGGGCCCGCCUCACGGCCGCCGGGGGGCACCCCGCCCCCGGGCCCGCGCCCGCCGAAGACACCUGUGAACGCUGUCUGAAGUUGCAGUCUGAGACACUAGCUCAAUCAGUUAAAACUUUCAACAAUGGAUCUCAG
rnacentral:misc_RNA from 1 species